UAUAAUCUGGCACCUUCGGUGUCCGAGUUGUAAUCUCUAGAAGUGUUUUCCGCGUUGGACCGCACACAAGUCUGUUGGAAUACAGCGGCAUAGUGGUGAGACCCCCGUAUAUGGUGCGGACGCCCAACGCUUUGUGAUACACUUUCGAAGAGUCGAGUUGUUUGGGAAUGCAGCUCAAAUUGGGUGGUAAAUUCCAUCUAAAGCUAAAUAUUGGCGAGAGACCGAUAGCGAACAAGUACCGUGAGGGAAAGAUGAAAAGCACUUUGGAAAGAGAGUUAACAGUACGUGAAAUUGUUGGAAGGGAAACGCUUGAAGUCAGACUUGCUUGCCGAGCAAUCGGUUUGCAGGCCAGCAUCAGUUUUCCGGGGUGGAUAAUGGUAGAGAGAAGGUAGCAGUUUCGGCUGUGUUAUAGCUCUCUGCUGGAUACACCUUGGGGGACUGAGGAACGCAGUGUGCCUUACGGCGGAUUUCUCGAGAUCUUCACACUUAGGAUGCUGGUGGAAUGGCUUUAAACGACCCGUCUUGAAACACGGACCAUGCGUCUUGG
rnacentral:rRNA from 1 species